CUUUUUUUACAAUGUGUGUGCAUAAUCUCAAGAUGUGGAUCAAUGCUCAAUGACUUUCUUGCCUUGAAAAAUGGACACAUUCGGUGUGCAGCACACUAAAAUGCUUUUGGCAGAUAAAUAUUGAACGGGUCCUUUCAACAACUCGGCUCAGUGCUGUGUGAGAACAUCACAGAUGUCCACAACUAAGAAUAAUGUCAUCAUGCAGUAGCAUUCUCCAAUAAAUUUGCCAAGUCAUGUGGCUGUCACUCCUGAGUGUAAAACAGAGAAAUGCCUGCAGUUGUGAGCAAUUAAGUAAAUACACCUCGCUGCAGGAACAGGGAAAGAUAAAGGUGGAAUUGGAUGACCGAUUAUUACCAUAUAAGAA